AUGAAUCAAUGCAUUGUAGGUAAACACAUUAGGUAAAACACCAAAAGACAUCAUUUGACCUCUAAUAGCGAAUGCAUUAUCAGGAUCUCCACAUCUCCCAUAACCAUUAAUUAUAAGGUUCCACACUUGAGGCUCUGGUACCAUUGACUUCUUUAACAUACAAUGAAGAUAGUCAUUAGCCCUAAAAACAUCUCCCUGAGCACAUAGCCCCUGAAUCAGUAUUUUGUAUGAUAUAUGAUCAGGCGCAACUCCCAUUCUCAACAUUACAUCAUGGAUGUUACAAGCCUCACACAAUUUUCCAGCUUUGCAAAGACCAGAUAUAAGAGUGUUAUACGUAAAGAUAUCAGGAAGUAAGCCUCUUUUGAGCAUUUCACAAGAGUAGCUAUAUGCAAGUUUCAUGUUUUCAGUCAAACACAAUCCAUGGAUAAGGACGUUAUAUGCAAUAGCAUCCAUUAGGGUAUUCUUUUGGGACAUGGCAUCCCAAAUGCCAAAGGCCUGAACAAUAUCUCCAUUCUUGAUACAACCAUCCAUGAGUAUGGUUGAGGUAAUUAAAUCUGAUCUCUUCUUUUCAUCAUCAUCCUCUAAUAUCUCGCUAAGAAGUUUUUUGGCAUUCUCCAAAAGGCCUCUCUUGCAGAGUGCAUGCACAAGUAUGUUGAAAGUAACCCUAUUUGGCCUGAUACCAUUAUUAUUCAUAGUUGCAAAAAUAAAAAGAGCUUUAUCAACAUCAUUUAUAAGACAAUAACCCUUUAUAAACGUGUUAUAAGUAGCACAAUUGGGAGAUGGACCCAUUUCUAACAUCUCUCUAAUAAGCCAAUCAGCACUCCCCAAGUCCCCAGUUUUGCAUAAUCCAUUCACCAAAUAAUUGUGAGUUAUCACAUCAGGAACAAAACCCUUCUGUACCAUUUUUCUCCUCAGCCAUAGAGCUGCUCCCAACUUGCCUACCAAACAUAAAUCCCUGAUUAUAGCUAUAUAUCCUGCACAACUGACAUUCAUAACACGUCCUAUAAGGCCUGCUUUAAUAGAUGAUAUGCCUUCCCUCAUUGAUUUCAAGCGCUCCAAACUACCAUUAAGCAUUGCAUCCAAAACAUUGAAAACAACCUGUGGAUCACCUUCAUCAUUGCAUCCCUUGUUAUUUGAAAACCAAUCUUGACUUCUCAUCCCGAAUGCUUACAGCAUUCAGCAGAAAAAUGAAAGGGGAUUAUGAUUUCAUUACUUAUCAAGAGUAGAAUCAAAGCAAAGAUGGAGACAAACUUGAGUGUCAUCACACAGUACAUGAUUUUAAAAAAAAUUAAUUAGAAAAUACAACAGAAAAAUGGCAAAAAAUACAAUUCAGAAGAAGAAUUAUAUAGAUUCAAAACAUAAAUGAUAACAUGUCAAAGAUUAUAUGGAUACAAAAUCUCAUACCUAAUAGGGACCUCCUUUGAGGAGCUCUGAACUCGACUCUCUGCUUCCCAGGAACACAUAAUCCUCCACCACUGCUCUGCUCAGGUUCCAUAGUUACCGUUGUUUAGGAAUUUAGACCACUGCUACCGAUUGAAAAAGCAGAGAGUUGAUGAAAUAAGCCAAGCUGAGUAGAGACGAAGAAACAACGAUGGAGAACGUGGGAUCGUGCGACGACAGAGAGCUAUGAUUGCCAGAUGUAGUGGCUCGAUUGGAGUGGGAACAGAUUAGCGAUUUCAAAAUUUUCAAAGGUAGCAAGUGGAUUUGAAAA
rnacentral:misc_RNA from 1 species